rnacentral:rRNA from 1 species
UACAGAGGAGCCAAGCGUUGUCCGGAUUGACUGGGCGUAAAGCGCACGCAGGCGGUUGCGCGCGUGGGGUGUGAAAUCUGGCCGCUUAACGGCCAGGCGCCAUCCCAUACGGCGCGACUGGAGUGAUGCAGAGGUCGAUGGAAUUGCCGGUGUAGUGGUGAAAUGCGUAGAGAUCGGCAGGAACACCCAGGGGGAAACCAGUCGACUGGGCAUCUACUGACGCUGAGGUGCGAGAGCGUGGGGAGCGAACCGGAUUGAGA